UAAUUGUCCACACAUCUCCCUGUUUUGAAUUGAUCUAGAGAAGGACACUAUUUACAGUUUGAAAUUGCUAUAUUAUAUCUUCAUGGUAACGUCUGAAGACUCGGUCUAAUUUCUAGGAAGUGAGACAGACUUAUAAAGGUAACCUAGAGGGGUGCAGUGACUUAUGCUGUUUCUGGUGUGAAUUGCUGACUGGUGGUUGAUGAUAAGCUAGUGCCCCCAUAUUCAUAAUGCAGCCUGGCAACUGGGACAGUAGAGCCCUCUGUGAAAUCAGCCAGCUGGCCUCAGAUCAGAAUUUGGACUCCCAAACAAGACUCCAGCUUGAGGGAGGUUGAUGUCAUCUGCUUUAUCCUGUGCCCCCAACCUCAUUGUUCAAUAUAAUGUGUGGGAAGUCAAGGGACUAGUUGUUAAGAAAGAACAAGGCUUUGUUUGUGCCUAAAAGGGUCAUGCUGGAGGUUUUUACCGUAAAUAACUUUGGAACAGUAUGAAAAAAAACAUUUGAUCUGGCUUCACCCCCACAGUAGUGUUGUUACGGCAGCAACUGGUUUUUCCUUCUCGUUCCUUCCCUUCCCCCUCCUCUUUCUUUCCAUUUCUUCCCUGCUAGCCUCCCUGCUUCUCAGUCAAGCAUGACGUAUUGCCUGUGUUAAGUUAAUGUAGCAAAUGCUGAUGGAAGCAGGAAGAGAGCAUCUAUCCAUUAUCUCACCAGUGCCUGGAAAUUUUCCAUUUCUGGUUCUCCACACUUGUACAAAAAGCUUCCCAGCCUCUUUGAUCAUAUUUUAGCUUAAGCAAUACUUCUGUGCUGUGCUAUGUCAUUACUGAAUUGUGUUAGAAAUCUGAAAGAACUUGAUGUUUCUAAACUCU
rnacentral:lncRNA from 1 species